rnacentral:rRNA from 1 species
GUGGGGAAUAUUGGACAAUGGGCGAAAGCCUGAUCCAGCCAUGCCGCGUGUGUGAAGAAGGUCUUCGGAUUGUAAAGCACUUUAAGUUGGGAGGAAGGGCAGUAAGUUAAUACCUUGCUGUUUUGACGUUACCGACAGAAUAAGCACCGGCUAACUUCGUGCCAGCAGCCGCGGUAAUACGAAGGGUGCAAGCGUUAAUCGGAAUUACUGGGCGUAAAGCGCGCGUAGGUGGUUUUGUAAGUUGGAGGUGAAAUCCCCGGGCUUAACCUGGGAACUGCCUCCAAAACUGCAUGACUAGAGUACGGUAGAGGGUAGUGGAAUUUCCUGUGUAGCGGUGAAAUGCGUAGAUAUAGGAAGGAACACCAGUGGCGAAGGCGACUACCUGGACUGAUACUGACACUGAGGUGCGAAAGCGUGGGGAGCAAACAGGAUUAGAAACCCUAGUAGUCC